rnacentral:sRNA from 1 species
UGAAGUGGAUUUAACGUGAGCGCUAUCUGUCACCACAUUGAUCACCAGGGUUGAUCUGGCUGAUCCGGUAAUCAGGUGUCCCCUUUCUCCUUUGCUUCUCCAUAUGUGUCCCUCCCAAAGCUUGUGCUCAGUUGAAGAUGACAAACUUCCUCCAUAGAGGAGGACCGUUCUCUGGUCAAGAUAUACAAUAGUUGCACUUCCCUGCUAGAACCUUCCAUCAAGCUGUCAAAUAGGCAUACAAAGUCACUCUUGACACAAUAAUCUUGGCCUAAUU